rnacentral:rRNA from 1 species
GAUGAACGCUGGCGGCGUGCCUAAUACAUGCAAGUCGAGCGAACGGACGAGAAGCUUGCUUUUCUGAUGUUAGCGGCGGACGGGUGAGUAACACGUGGAUAACCUACCUAUAAGACUGGGAUAACUUCGGGAAACCGGAGCUAAUACCGGAUAAUAUUUUGAACCGCAUGGUUCAAAAGUGAAAGACGGUCUUGCUGUCACUUAUAGAUGGAUCCGCGCUGCAUUAGCUAGUUGGUAAGGUAACGGCUUACCAAGGCAACGAUGCAUAGCCGACCUGAGAGGGUGAUCGGCCACACUGGAACUGCGACGCGGUCCAGGCUCCUACGGGAGGCAGCAGUAGGGAAUCUUCCGCAAAGGGCGAAAGCCUGACGGAGCAACGCCGCGUGAGUGAUGAAGGUCUUCGGAUCGUAAAACUCUGUUAUUAGGGAAGAACAUAUGUGUAAGUAACUGUGCACAGCUUGACGGUACCUAAUCAGAAAGCCACGGCUAACUACGUG